AGAAAUCAACCGAGAUUCCCCCAGUAGCGGCGAGCGAACGGGGAGCAGCCCAGAGCCUGAAUCAGUGUGUGUGUUAGUGGAAGCGUCUGGAAAGGCGCGCGAUACAGGGUGACAGCCCCGUACACAAAAAUGCACAUGCUGUGAGCUCGAUGAGUAGGGCGGGACACGUGGUAUCCUGUCUGAAUAUGGGGGGACCAUCCUCCAAGGCUAAAUACUCCUGACUGACCGAUAGUGAACCAGUACCGUGAGGGAAAGGCGAAAAGAACCCCGGCGAGGGGAGUGAAAAAGAACCUGAAACCGUGUACGUACAAGCAGUGGGAGCACGCUUAGGCGUGUGACUGCGUACCUUUUGUAUAAUGGGUCAGCGACUUAUAUUCUGUAGCAAGGUUAACCGAAUAGGGGAGCCGAAGGGAAACCGAGUCUUAACUGGGCGUUAAGUUGCAGGGUAUAGACCCGAAACCCGGUGAUCUAGCCAUGGGCAGGUUGAAGGUUGGGUAACACUAACUGGAGGACCGAACCGACUAAUGUUGAAAAAUUAGCGGAUGACUUGUGGCUGGGGGUGAAAGGCCAAUCAAACCGGGAGAUAGCUGGUUCUCCCCGAAAGCUAUUUAGGUAGCGCCUCGUGAAUUCAUCUCCGGGGGUAGAGCACUGUUUCGGCAAGGGGGUCAUCCCGACUUACCAACCCGAUGCAAACUGCGAAUACCGGAGAAUGUUAUCACGGGAGACACACGGCGGGUGCUAACGUCCGUCGUGAAGAGGGAAACAACCCAGACCGCCAGCUAAGGUCCCAAAGUCAUGGUUAAGUGGGAAACGAUGUGGGAAGGCCCAGACAGCCAGGAUGUUGGCUUAGAAGCAGCCAUCAUUUAAAGAAAGCGUAAUAGCUCACUGGUCGAGUCGGCCUGCGCGGAAGAUGUAACGGGGCUAAACCAUGCACCGAAGCUGCGGCAGCGACGCUUAUGCGUUGUUGGGUAGGGGAGCGUUCUGUAAGCCUGUGAAGGUGUGCUGUGAGGCAUGCUGGAGGUAUCAGAAGUGCGAAUGCUGACAUAAGUAACGAUAAAGCGGGUGAAAAGCCCGCUCGCCGGAAGACCAAGGGUUCCUGUCCAACGUUAAUCGGGGCAGGGUGAGUCGACCCCUAAGGCGAGGCCGAAAGGCGUAGUCGAUGGGAAACAGGUUAAUAUUCCUGUACUUGGUGUUACUGCGAAGGG
rnacentral:rRNA from 1 species